GGAUGAGAGGUGGAUCCCACAGACACUGCCCACUGGGUAGUACUAGGCAAUUUGAAAGCUAUAAAAAGCCCCCAAAGUCUUCAGCUGGGGGGCUUCAGUUUGAGUCUUUGACUUGGAGCUUUGGCUGGAACUGCCUUUUAGAGGUGAGCUAUGUAGGAAAGGAUUUCUAGUAGGGCAUAGCAAUGCAGGCUGGCAGUGUGUAUGAUCAAGAUUCCACAGACUUUGGCUGGGUCAGGAUUCUAAGGCAGUUGGAAAUCUCUCUCCAUGAAGCUAAUCAGACUUGAAGGUGUGCCUAGUGGUGGUCUCUCUGAAGAACCAAUUGAGGAGCUGCCAAGGACUUUUGGAUUAUCAAAAGGUUAACUAUGGCCCUAGGGGCUGCUGGGAGUGCCCGGUGGGGACGGAAAAAGGUGGCAUUUUAAUGAACCUUCCUCGAGCUGCACUGGGAUCAUGCCACAGCCUAAGGGGUGCAGAGAUGCCAAGAAGGCUGUGCUGGAAGAAAAAUGAGGGGUGGCCAUCAACCUCACAGUAUAAGAUGUCUCAUGAUGAGAAGGGGAUUCACUGUCUCCUGAAAGAGCCCUUUCAAAUGGUGGUUUUCAUUGUUAAGAGGUUUGUACUUAAUGUAGAAAAGUGGAUUGGAUUGCCACAGGAAGCAGAAUUUCUUAUCACUGGAAAUCUUCAAGCAGAGGUUCAACCUUUCUUCAGCAUUUUUCUUCACCGCUACCACUGAGAUUUACA
rnacentral:lncRNA from 1 species